GCUUGCUCCUUGGGUGACGAGCGGCGGACGGGUGAGUAAUGCCUGGGGAUCUGCCCGAUAGAGGGGGAUAACUACGGGAAACUGUAGCUAAUACCGCAUAACGUCUACAGACCAAAGUGGGGGCUCUUCGGACCUCAUGCUAUCGGAUGAACCCAGGUGGGAUUAGCUAGUUGGUGAGGUAAUGGCUCACCAAGGCGAUGAUCUCUAACUGGUUUGAGAGAAUGACCAGUCACACUGGAACUGAGACACGGUCCAGACUCCUACGGGAGGCAGCAGUGGGGAAUAUUGCACAAUGGGCGCAAGCCUGAUGCAGCCAUGCCGCGUGUGUGAAGAAGGCCUUCGGGUUGUAAAGCACUUUCAGCGGGGAGGAAGGGUCACUAGUUAAUACCUAGUGGCAUUGACGUUACUCGCAGAAGAAGCACCGGCUAACUCCGUGCCAGCAGCCGCGGUAAUACGGAGGGUGCAAGCGUUAAUCGGAAUUACUGGGCGUAAAGCGCACGCAGGCGGUUUGUUAAGUCAGAUGUGAAAUCCCCGAGCUCAACUUGGGAACUGCAUUUGAAA
rnacentral:rRNA from 1 species